rnacentral:rRNA from 1 species
UACGUAGGGGGCAAGCGUUGUCCGGAAUCAUUGGGCGUAAAGCGCGUGUAGGCGGCCUGGAAAGUCUGGUGUGAAAUCCUGCGGCUCAACCGCAGACUGUCACUGGAUACUGUCAGGCUUGAGUCCGGAAGAGGAGUGUGGAAUUCCUGGUGUAGCGGUGGAAUGCGCAGAUAUCAGGAGGAACACCAAUGGCGAAGGCAGCACUCUGGUACGUGACUGACGCUGAGACGCGAAAGCGUGGGGAGCAAACAGG